rnacentral:rRNA from 1 species
CACGUAGGGUGCGAGCGUUGUCCGGAAUUAUUGGGCGUAAAGAGCUCGUAGGCGGUGUGUCGCGUCGGCCGUGAAAACUUGCAGCUCAACUGUGGGCGUGCGGUCGAUACGGGCAUCACUGGAGUUCGGCAGGGGAGACUGGAAUUCCUGGUGUAGCGGUGGAAUGCGCAGAUAUCAGGAGGAACACCGGUGGCGAAGGCGGGUCUCUGGGCAGUAACUGACGCUGAGGAGCGAAAGCGUGGGGAGCGAACAGG